GUCAUCGGUGGGGUCUCCGGCCGUGUCUUCAUGGUCAAUGGCGGCGGGGCAGACAACAUCAGGUGAAGAUGUGCGUGAUUUUAGCAAGGUGCUGAAAAAUAAGUUCAGAUCAAAGAAAUACUUUGCCAAACAUCCUCGCUUGGGUUAUUUACCAGUACAAACAGUUCUAGAAGGCGAGAACCUUGAGACUGGAUCUGUUGGAGUUGCACACAGCGCAACGCGUCUUUGAUCAACACAAAUUGACACAAACCGAGCAACUUCUGAAUGUGACUGAAGUAAUCAACUGUUUAACGUCCAUUUAUGAUGUUUUGGAACAAAACCACAAGGACUUGGUCAAUGUGCCACUCUGUGUCGACAUGUGUCUGAACUGGCUGCUGAACGUAUUUGAUACGGGUAUGAGUGGAAGAAUCAGAGUGCUUUCUUUGAAAAUUGGCUUGACGUGACUCUUCAAGGAUCAUCUAGAGGAAAAAUACAAGUAUCUCUUCAAACAAGUCGCUGAACCCACAGAUUUAUGUGACCAACGAAGCCUGAGUCUUUUGCUUUACGAUGCAGUCCAGAUCCCUUGGCAGCUGGGUGAGGUAGCUUCAUUUGGAGGCUGCAACAUUGAACCAAGUAUCCGCAGUUGCUUCCAACAUGGCCAGAACAAACCAGAGAUUGAUGUUGAACGCUUUGUCGAGUGGAUGAGAUUGGAGCCUCAGUCCAUGGUGUGGCUGCCUGUUCGACACCGUGUGGCAGCUGCUGAAACUGCAAAACAUCAGGCUAAGUGUAACAUCUGCAAAGAGUACCCAAUCGUAGGUUUCAGGUACCGCAGUCUCAAGCACUUCAAUUCUGACAUCUGCCAAAGCUGUUUCUUUUCGGGGCGCACAUCAAAGGGACACAAGUUACAUUGCCCCAUGGUGGAGUACUGCACUCCGAACCUACCCCGGAAGAGAGAGCCCAGAGAAUUGCCAAAGCUGUCCGCAAACAGUCAAUAGAAGUGAAGGAAACUUGGGAGCAAUUGAAAACCCAUGCGAGCAACUGGCAGAAACAGGUGGAAAAGGUGUUGGAGAAACUUCAAGAACUGCAGAAAGCUCUGGAUGAUCUUGAGGCUCAUGUGAUAACAGCUGAAGGGGUCCGCACUGAUUGACAACCUGUGGGUGAACUGCUUAUUGACUCAUUGCAGGAUCACAUUGAUAAAACCACAGUUCAGCUAGGAUCCAGCUGUGCUUAGUUUCAAUUUGGCUUUGGAUCCAAUCUAAUAAUACUGUAAAGGAAUAUAAGAACCAAGGGCAGGAGAAGACUGUGCAGCCCACUGUGCCUGCUUCCUCAUUCACUACAAUUGUGGCUCAUCUUGGGCUUCAAAUUUGCUUUCCUGCUUGCUCCCUGAGUCCCUCGAUUCCCUGAGAGAAUGAAGGUAAAUUUUGUUCUUAAGUACAUUCAGUGAAAACACUUGAUAUAUAUUUGAUUUUAUCAUUAUGAGCCUGUUUUGAGCAGCAUUUUCUUGGGACGUAAAUUUUUUUUGGAUUUGUCACAAUCUAUAUUGGAAGAGCCUACUAGAGAUUGAACCCCACUAUUCCAUAAAUAAUUGUAAAUAUGACGAGUGUAACCUCAAGGAUUGUUAAUGUCUGACUGUUACCGUUAUUGAGGAUAAAAGAAAUUUUCUCCAGGCUUCAUCAAUUAAUGGGGGAAAAAGUACAUUUAUUAUUUUAAAUGUAUUCUUUAACAAGUGACAAAGUGGAUUAUUAAUGAUGAACAUGUAAACUUAAACCAUUCUACAUUCAGGUGCAGACAUGCAUACACUUGUCACCAAUAAGGUGGCAGGAUAGUCAAGAUGAACAGUUAUUCUGCAGUAUCGUGGGUGGGAGAUAUCAGUAAAAAGAACAAACCCUGCAGAACAAGACUCUCAGCCAAAAGCGGGGUAAAUGAGGUGACUUUCUCACAGUUCCUCUGCUUUUUGACAAUGGUGUCGUGUCACCGAUCACCACAUUGAUCCUCAAUUUGACAGUUGAUCAAUUGAACCUAUGUCUGGGCUUGGAUCAGAAAAAGGCCUGAUUCCACACUGUAGGCAUUCUAACACAAGUUUGAUUUGUGUAUGCUGAAAAGAUUUUGGGCCAGAAAGUCCUCAGCAAAGACAUUUUGGUUGAGAGUUAUGUGCUGUGUUGAAUUAAUGUAGCGACUGCCACCCACUGUUGUAGAGUAUAGCUGAAAAACAGAUGAGUAUGGAGGAACUGAUGGGUACAUCUCCAGCAAGGUAACAGCCUUUCAGGAAAAUUGCGCAAGUAACUAGUAAAAUUUGAGUGAGAUUUUUUGGUAAAUUAUUCUUUAACUGAAGUGCGGAAAAAUGUGAGCUCAGCGAUUUUUUUUUGGUGAUCAACUUCGACUCCAUUAUCCUGCAUCACAAUCAAAUUCUAAUAUUUCUGAACUGAAGAAUCAUAGAAUUUUACAGUAUAGAAGGUGGCCAUUUGGCCCACUCUGUCUGUACUGGCUCCUGAAAGAGCUACCCAGCUGUGUCUCUGUAGGCCUCUAAAUUCAGCACUUUCAAAUAUAUAUCUCAGGAAGGGUCACCGGACCUUAGAUGUUAAUUCCAA